GAAAUCAGGAUGCAAGCUGCCGUUGUUCUUGUUUUACUAACUGUCGUAGCCACCCAGGCGCUUAUUGUCAGCCAAUGUCAUAAAGACUCUGAUUGUGAUACUGGGUGCUGUACGCGCCAUUUUUUUUCUGGAUUACCAAGUCUAUGUAGGCCUAAAAGUCAAUAUCUACAAGGAUGCUCAGCUAAAUACAUUACAGAAUGUGACUGUGCUGAAGGUUUGACUUGCAUUUUGGAAUCAGAGGUUACCAGUACUGUUAUAACAACCUUUUUUGGAGCUAGAAAAAUGGUCUGUGAAAAAAACACAGCGAUAGCGGCUUCAAAGGCAGCAGACCCUUCCGCUGCUUCUACA